rnacentral:lncRNA from 1 species
GGCGGCACCCCACCUCGGCACGUUGUAGCUGUCCCUCGACAUGGAGGACGCCGGCACGCAGCGUGUGGAGGAGGCUAAGGACAGCUGGUGGCGAACUGAGGAGGAUGGCUGGAGGAGCACCAACGAGACAAGGAUGGCAUGCGGCAGGCAGGGAGAUCGGCACAGAUGUGAACAAGGAUCACCUGCAGGUGGAUGUGCAAUAGCAUCUGUGAUGCGGAAGUAGGUGAUUUAAUUUUUGUUUCAUAUAUGUCUGAAAUUAAUUAUGCAGAAAAAUUCAUUGUUGAAACCAGGGCUAUUUCUGUAGCUUAACUGUCUAGUUAUAGUUACCUAGUCCAUCUGCUACACUAUUUGGAUUUACCUUCACCCGUUAGUCACGAGCUAUUGAUACAGAGGAACAGAAGUAAUAAAAUAGCUGAAGUGCUAAAGCAAGGGUGCUAUGAAAACAAAUCAGUAAUCAUGUUAAUCAGUAACUGAUAAAGACGAAUUAGUAAUUUGUUGGAACCGUAUUCUUAUAUGCAGAACAAGGUGAUUUAAUUUGCCACAUAAAGUUUUAUAUUUUGAGGAUAUUAUUACUACCUAGAUAGGUUAACUAUUGUUCUUUUCUAGAGUUUAUUUGAUUGAUAAUGACACAUUACCUGUCUUGCAAGAUAUCAGCACUCUGGAUUCCAGAUAUGUAUAAAGCUAUCUAUCUAGAAGUGUAUGAACAUAUGAUCUUUCGCCUUUGAUUAUUGCAUACUAGUGAGUAAAGAUUUUUAUAUCACCAUUAGUCUAAUUUCAUCUCUGUUAUGUGCCCCUUGUACAAGCAAGAACUCUAUAUUUCUGUACUUAUGGGCUCCUGUUUUAUAUAAAUUUUAUACGUAUGUUGGUUCAUAUGCCAAUGAGUAUAGUCCAGGUAUAAUUUAAAGUACAAGUGAUUGCAAGAAAUAUGUUAUAAUGAAAUACUGCUAACACUCAGUUGUGUCUAGAGAUGCAACUUUCUCUCCUCACCAUAGCUCAUUUCUUCUGUCAUCUUGAAUGACUGUUCUUGCCUGUUGUUAUUAUUUACAGAAUCUUGUAGUACUAAUUAAUAAUUAACAUGUUAUAAUGACAUUCUGUUCUAGUGUGCUACAGCUGUAGGUCCUUGCACAUGCUUAACUGAAUGCAAGACAUUUGACAAUUUUACUGUAAUUUUUGCAAGUGCUGAUUGACAGUUUGUAGCACAGCAGCAGUUCUGUGGAACCUGUGGCUGCAUGUCAGCAUCACUAAAAGCAGGUAGUCAAGCAAGCAGGUCAUCAUCAACAUUCCGUAAAGGUGCAGUUCUAAUCCAGUCCUCGUAUUUGUGAAAUAUCCCUUUUGUUGGCUCAGUGUAUUUGCUAGCAUGGUUGGUUAGAGAGGCAAAAAUAAAAUAGAAAGCAGAGUAAGGUUAUAUUACAGAGAAAAUGAGUCCAUCAGUAUUUAUGUUGUCGAGGAAUUGCAGUUUACAGAAAGAAGGAAGAGACACUGUAUAGGAAGGUCCAAGAUGCAGGCUACAGAAUCGAAAG